rnacentral:rRNA from 1 species
CCCGGCCGCCUGGCGGCCGCGGGAUUCGAUUGAGUUGAUCCUGGCUCAGGAUGAACGCUGGCGGCGUGCCUAAUACAUGCAAGUCGAGCGAACAGAUAAGGAGCUUGCUCCUUUGACGUUAGCGGCGGACGGGUGAGUAACACGUGGGUAACCUACCUAUAAGACUGGAAUAACUCCGGGAAACCGGGGCUAAUGCCGGAUAACAUUUAGAACCGCAUGGUUCUAAAGUGAAAGAUGGUUUUGCUAUCACUUAUAGAUGGACCCGCGCCGUAUUAGCUAGUUGGUAAGGUAAUGGCUUACCAAGGCAACGAUACGUAGCCGACCUGAGAGGGUGAUCGGCCACACUGGAACUGAGACACGGUCCAGACUCCUACGGGAGGCAGCAGUAGGGAAUCUUCCGCAAUGGGCGAAAGCCUGACGGAGCAACGCCGCGUGAGUGAUGAAGGGUUUCGGCUCGUAAAACUCUGUUAUUAGGGAAGAACAAACGUGU